UACGUAGGGUCCGAGCGUUGUCCGGAAUUACUGGGCGUAAAGAGCUCGUAGGUGGUUUGUCGCGUUGUUCGUGAAAACUCACAGCUCAACUGUGGGCGUGCGGGCGAUACGGGCAGACUAGAGUACUGCAGGGGAGACUGGAAUUCCUGGUGUAGCGGUGGAAUGCGCAGAUAUCAGGAGGAACACCAAUGGCGAAGGCAGAUCUCUGGGCCGUAACUGACGCUGGAGGAGCGGAAAGCCAUGGGGAGCGAACAGG
rnacentral:rRNA from 1 species